rnacentral:rRNA from 1 species
UACGUAGGGUGCGAGCGUUAAUCGGAUUUACUGGGCGUAAAGCGUGCGCAGGCGGCACGUUAAGUCAGGUGUGAAAUCCCUGGGCUCAACCUAGGAAUUGCGCUUGUGACUGGCGGGCUCGAGUACGGUAGAGGGGGGUGGAAUUCCUGGUGUAGCAGUGAAAUGCGUAGAGAUCAGGAGGAACACCGAUGGCGAAGGCAGCCCCCUGGGCCUGUACUGACGCUCAUGCACGAAAGCGUGGGGAGCAAACAGG